UAUAUAGUUGGUAUGAAAACAGGCAGAAAAAUGUAGAAAAAGUAAUGAUAAUCUAGGGUAGCAAGGAAAAAUUACUAAUAAUAGAAAGCAAACUUCACCAUAAAAAGGGAUGUUAGUCUGAUAAAGUUGCAGUUUUGCUUUCCUAAUAAAACAUUUGAGAUGGAAAAAUGGAAGGCUUCUUAUCAAAAUAGAUCUAUACAUUCACACUAUGGUUUAAUAUUUUGUUGUUGUUGUUCUGAUAGUAAUUAUAGAUAUAGUAAAACUAGGCUCAAAAUAUCUUCAAUGUCCAUAAAAGAACAAAAGCCUAAAAUGAUAAGCUGAAGAGAAGGCAGAAUCCAGUUAGGCCCCUCAACCAAGAGUAGCGAGUUGGGCCUAGGUGUUGGCUCCUGAGAGAUAGAAAAGAGCAAAAGUGAUUGAGUGGGUGGGAGAUUGGGGAACUAGAAAACCAGAGUCAAAGUUUUUCUCUUUAAACCCAAGACCAAGAGUGU
rnacentral:lncRNA from 10 species